rnacentral:rRNA from 1 species
CAGGCCGCGGUAAUACGAAGGGGGCUAGCGUUGUUCGGAAUUACUGGGCGUAAAGCGCACGUAGGCGGAUAUUUAAGUCAGGGGUGAAAUCCCGCAGCUCAACUGCGGAACUGCCUUUGAUACUGGGUAUCUUGAGUAUGGAAGAGGUUAGUGGAAUUGCGAGUGUAGAGGUGAAAUUCGUAGAUAUUCGGAAGAACACCAGUGGCGAAGGCGGCUUACUGGCUCAUACUGGACGCUGAGGUGCGAAAGCGUGGGGAGCAAACAGGAUUAGAUACCCCCGUAGUCCCUGUCUCUUAUACAC